GAAAGCGUGGGGAGCGAACAGGAUUAGAUACCCUGGUAGUCCACGCCGUAAACGAUGCAUAUUAUUAGUAUGGAGUAUCGACCCUCUGUGCUGAAAAGCUAACGCGAUAAAUAUGCCGCCUGGGGAGUACGGCCGCAAGGCUAAAACUCAAAGGAAUUGACGGGGCUCCGCACAAGCAGUGGAGGAUGUGGUUUAAUCCGAAGCUACGCGCAGAACCUUACCAAGGCUUGAAAUCCCUAUCGUACUCCUAGGAAACUAGGAGGUCAGUUCGGCUGGAUAGGUGACAGAUGCUGCAUGGCCGUCGUCAGCUCGUGUCGUGAGAUGUUGGGUUAAGUCCCGCAACGAGCGCAACCCUUGUCGUGUGUUGUAUUUUUCACGCGAGACCGCCCGGGCCAACCGGGAGGAAGGUGGGGAUGACGUCAGGUCGGCAUGGCUCUUACGCCUUGGGCCACACACGUCCUACAAUGGCUGGUACAACGGGUCGCGAAACCGCGAGGUGGAGCUAAUCCCAUCAAAACCAGUCUCAGUUCGGAUUGCAGGCUGAAACUCGCCUGCAUGAAGCUGGAAUUGCUAGUAACCGUAGGUCAGCAUACUACGGUGAAUACGUUCCCGGAGCUUGUACACACCGCCCGUCACACCACGAAAGUUGGGGGUGCCCGACGUGCCUACUUUGCUAGGCCCUAAGGCAAACCCAGUGAUUGGGGUGAAGUCGUAACAAGGUAUCCGUACCGGAAGGUGCGGAUG
rnacentral:rRNA from 1 species